CAGAGGUUGGAAAGGUCCCAGUGGGAAGGGCAGAGCCUUGGGAAAGCCCAACAGCUCCCCUCAAGGCAACAAAGAGCAGCAAUUCCAAGAGAGCAGCAGCUUUUUGUGGAGAUUGGACCAGAAAGACAGCAAAGAGGAUGGAACCUGAACGACUGUCCCUACUGCCCUGCUUGUCCUGGGAGUACUUUACAAUCCCUGCAGACAGAUCCCUCAGCCUGGCAGUUCAUCAGGGCCUGACAGAUGCAAGGGGAAGCACUCAGCAGAGAACAGAGGGAUUCUUGCAGCCUUCCACGUGUGCUGGGAAAGCAGCAGCAGCUGCAAUAAUGUGCUCAAGCAGAUAAACAUUCCAACAACGCUGCUUAAAGCAUCAAUUUUGUCUUUCCCCUCGUUUGCAAGAAGCUCCUGUUGUCAGCUUAACUCGACAACUAUUUCCACACAGCAAACAGCUAAUGGGCCACUGAGAAAAGCUCCUGAAAAUUCAGCCUGUGCUGCUCCAGAGCUGAGCUGAAGCUGUGUAACCCAUGGAAAUAAGGGGCUGGAAUGAUGGGCCAUAGCAAGUGUCAGAGCACUGGCAUAGGGAAAAAAUUAAAUAUAGAAAACAGAAAUUCUGCUGCCACAGGAGAAGCCUCAGUGGAGAACCAUCUGGGAGCUGUUAAAGACCAAGAACACUGACUCUGCUUUUGGGAAAGAGGCAGCUUUCCACACAGCCAGAGCAGAUGUAGAGGCAGGAGGGCAUCACCAUGCUUAGUGCAUCCAGAGAGACCCAUGAGAACUGACAGAAGACACCAAAACCACCAUUUCUGGCAGAAAUCCUCCUCCCCAAGAUCAGAGCAGAACCCUUAAAUUUGCUGUGAAAUGCAAACCAGCCAUAAUUCCUUGGGGAAGGAGGAGAGAAGUUACAAAUGGCAGAGCCUUUUGGGGCAGACUCCCAGCUGCAUCCCACGGGGAGGAAUUUUGCUCCUCCAUAACAUUUUACAGAACUCUCCACCUCAGCCAGGUCACCAAACUAAGCAGUGCUUGGACCCCUGGCAUCUCCACCACUGGCUCCUCUCUGGUACAGAUUUAGGGAGAGUGAAGGGUUCAACCCCCCCAUCACUGCACCACAAUUUUUACAGCAAACCCAUCCUGGAGAAGACACAGUUUGUCUCAAAUUCCAUUACACUGCACCAAAAGGUGGUCACAGCACUUGGGGGAAAAAUUAAAACAAUCCCCAAAACCCAAACACCCUCAAGUUUCAAACUCCAGAGCAUCAGAAGUAGAAGACUCCUGAUCUGUAUCAGGGGGCCCUAUUAAGAUCAUUAUUUGCUGUCAGAGUCUUUAAGCAGCCUGCUCUAAAUAUAGACCCAUUUAAAGCUUUUCUAGGGGA